ACCUGGUUGAUCCUGGCAGUAGUCAUAUGGUUGUCUAAAAGAUUAAGGCAUGGAUGUCUAAGUAUAAGGACUCCUUUUACUGUAAAACUGGGGACGGGUCAUUAAAUCAGUUAUAAUUUACAUGAUCAUAAAUACUCCUACAUGGAUAAGCUGGGAAUUCUAGAGCUAAUACAUGAUUCUAAUCUGGACUUCUUUUUUUUUGGAGGAAAUGAUGAAUUUAUUAGAUUAACAACCUGAGGGUAUUCAAACCGUUCUUGAACUUGUUUCUUCAUGGGCUCAGUCUCUUUUUUGAGAUACUUUUGGUGAUUCAAAAUAACUUAUCGAAUCGCAGAGCCCUUUUUGUCGGCGAUGAUACAUACAAAUUUCUGCCCUAUCACCUUUCGAUGGUAGUGUAGUGGACUACCAUGGUGAUCACGGGUAACGGGGAAUUAGGGUUCGAUUCCGGAGAGGGAGGCCUGAGAAAUGGCUACCACUUCCAAGGAAGGCAGCAGGCGCGCAAAUUACCCAAUCCUAAUCCGGGAGGGAGUGACAAGAAAUACCAAUCAAAGUCAUGAUGUUGCGUUUGGAAUGAGUGGAAUUUAAAACAUUAUUAAGGAACCAUUGGAGGGCAAGUCUGGUGCCAGCAGCCGCGGUAAUUCCAGCUCCAAUAGUGUAUAUUAAAGUUGCUGCAGUUAAAAAGCUCGUAGUUGGAUAUCGGUUAUUGUGAGAUUGUCUACUUUUACUAGUACGAACAUAAUCCCAAUCCUUCUUUUGGGUUUAGUAAUUUAAUUGCCUCCACAUAAUUUACUUUGAAAAAAUUAGAGUGUUCAAAGCAGGCGUAACAAUGCCUUUGAAUAUAUUAGCAUGGGAUAAUGAAAUAAGACUUUUUGCCUUAUUCUCGUUGGUUCUUUUUUUUGGGCUUAAGUAAUGAUUAAUAGGAUAGUUGGGGUUAUGUGUAUAUUGAUCCGCCAGAGGUGAAAUUCUAGACUGAUCAAAGACAAACUACUGGGAAAGCAUUUAAGCAAGGAUGUUUUCAUUAAUCAAGAACGAAAGUGGGGGAUCGAAGAUGAUCAGAUCCGUCGUAGUCCCAACCAUAAACUAUCCCGACCAAGGAUUGGAAAAUGUUACAUGAAUCCCUUCCGGCCACUUAUAGAGAAAUCACAAGUAUUUGGGUUCGGGGGGGAGUAUGGUCCCAAGGCGGAAACUUAAA
rnacentral:rRNA from 1 species